CAGUAGCCACGGGAAUACGUAGGGUGCAAGCGUUAAUCGGAAUUACUGGGCGUAAAGCGUGCGCAGGCGGUUAUGCAAGACAGAUGUGAAAUCCCCGGGCUCAACCUGGGAACUGCAUUUGUGACUGCAUGACUAGAGUACGGCAGAGGGGGAUGGAAUUCCGCGUGUAGCAGUGAAAUGCGUAGAUAUGCGGAGGAACACCGAUGGCGAAGGCAAUCCCCUGGGCCUGUACUGACGCUCAUGCACGAAAGCGUGGGGAGCAAACAGGAUUAGAUACCCCCGUAGUCCCUGUCUCUUAUAC
rnacentral:rRNA from 1 species